AUUGAACGCUGGCGGCAUGCUUUACACAUGCAAGUCGAACGGUAACAGGUUAAGCUGACGAGUGGCGAACGGGUAAGUAAUGCAUCGGAACGUGCCCGAUCGUGGGGGAUAACGCAGCGAAAGCUGCGCUAAUACCGCAUACGAUCUGAGGAUGAAAGCGGGGGACCGUAAGGCCUCGCGCGAUCGGAGCGGCCGAUGUCAGAUUAGGUAGUUGGUGGGGUAAAGGCCCACCAAGCCGACGAUCUGUAGCUGGUCUGAGAGGACGACCAGCCACACUGGGACUGAGACACGGCCCAGACUCCUACGGGAGGCAGCAGUGGGGAAUUUUGGACAAUGGGCGAAAGCCUGAUCCAGCAAUGCCGCGUGCAGGAAGGAGGCCUUCGGGUUGUAAACUGCUUUUGUACGGAGCGGAGAGGUCCUUUCUAAUACAAGGGGCUCAUGACGGUACCGUAAGAAUAAGCACCGGCUAACUACGUGCCAGCCGCCGCGGUAAGAC
rnacentral:rRNA from 1 species